CAUUAGAUGGCUGAAAGCAAGCAAUGGUCUCUUAAACCAAUAUAUAAUAGAUUAGCAUCUAUUUCUAAUGA
rnacentral:tRNA from 1 species